rnacentral:rRNA from 1 species
CAGCCGCCGCGGUAAUACCGGCGGCCCGAGUGGCGGUCACUAUUAUUGGGCUUAAAGCGUCCGUAGCCGGGUUGGGAAGUCCUCCGGGAAAUCUGGCCGCUUAAUGGUCAGAAUGCCGGAGGAUACUCCCAGCCUAGGGAGCGGGAGAGGCCGAGGGGAUUCCCGGAGUAGGGGGGAAAUCCUAUAAUCCCGGGAGGACCACCUGUGGCGAAGGCGCUCGGCUGGAACGCGUCCGACGGUGAGGGACGAAGGCCAGGGGAGCAAACCGGAUUAGAUACCCGGGUAGUCCUGGCUGUAAACGAUGCGGACUUUGUGUCGGACAAGCUAUGAGCUUGUCCGGUGCCGGAGGGAAACCGUUAAGUCCGCCGCCUGGGGAGUACGGCCGCAAGGCUGAAACUUAAAGGAAUUGGCGGG